GCUAAGUCCAGUCCUUCAUCUGAGUAACACAAAAGUGCAGAAAUGAGACCAGCAGUGUCUUGGGAGUCUGGUGUGGUGGGCACACAGGUACAUCUUGUAGGGUGCUAGAGACACCCCUGCCUUCAUCAUGAUGGUGAAUUCACAGGUAUUUCCAUACUUAAAGUUCAACAAUCAUACUUAGGAUUUGUUCUCAUUUUUAAAAACUAAAAUGAAAAUAUCAAAGACAUCCAAUAACGUUUGCAGAAAAUGGGGAAAGCUGGUUUUCUUAGUGCUUUGUCUGGAUUAUCCAAUAACAAGAGUACGCCAUGAAAAGUAUUGAUAACCAUCCCCCCCAUCAGCUCAAGCCUCUCCUACAAAGCAGCUGCUCUCUGGCUCUUGCGCUCCCGCAGAUAAUGUGUAUACACAUAGCUCAAGCAUAUGAGAAGUACUUGGCAUAUGUCAUUGAUAAAUGUGACAGGCUAUGUCUAUCAAGACGAAGAUGUUCCGAUGGCAGCUGUACUGCUUACCUGUUCCAGAACGUCCAACUUUAACUCGAGUUUGCUGAGAACCACGUCCCCACCCCAUAGUGAAAGCUGGAGAUCUGAAGGUUUUAAGUUCUUGAUAUAGCGAUUCACAUAACUCAUUAAAAUUGGAGUUACGUACGACUCCAGCAUCUUCAAAUUUAAGCGUCGAAGUCAGAUCCUGAAAAGGGUAAAGACGGAAAUUUUGUAAGUAACUGAAUCGACAGGCAGCAACUGGAAAUGCACUUCUCAGGAAGCUUGGCAAGGCCGCUCUCCCGGAUCGCCCGCCCGCCCUCCGGGUCCGGGCGCGAGCUCCCCGCUAACUGAGCGCCUCACCUGACGAGGAGUAGGCAGAGAGGCUGGAGGCGGCCGGCCCCCGGGCGUGGGAGGACAGCACGUCCUGCUUCACUCCUACCCUAGCGCAGCCCAGCCAGAGGCGGUCGACUCCCGGAACGCAGGCGGAUCUCCGGCCAUAGGACCGAGCUGGCGUCAGGCCCGCUGCUGCCGCCGCCGCCGCACCCGCUCCAAGCACCCCAUUCAGAAGAUGGAGCCUGAUUCUUAUGCCUGGAUGUAUUGGAGGUAUUUAGUGACUCACUUCUGAAAAAUACACUGUGGCAGAAAUGACAGUGUGUGACUUCUUCAAGUAAGAUGUAAGAGGGACUGUUGAUAUGGUAGGAUUUGCUCUGAAGGAAGCCAGCUGCCGAAUGUGAUACUCAGGCUACACAGUGGGCAAGGCCCCGUGAUGAGAAACAGCUUCUGUGCUUGAUUGAGAUUUCGUUCUUCAGAUGCUGAACCUCUAGCUGUGCUUGGCCACCUCGGGAAAAAACUCUGAGCCAGAACCUCCUCUUUAUCACAGCCAGGGAAAGUGCCCCUGAAUUUGAGAACUCCAUUAGAAACUAUGAGGUAAUAAAUAUUUGGUUUUAGCC
rnacentral:lncRNA from 1 species